rnacentral:rRNA from 1 species
GACUAGGCAGGGCUGGCGUACUUGAACACAUGCAGUCGAACGGAGAUUUUUUUCUGUAGCAAUACAGAGAAAAGUCUAGUGGCGAACGGGUGCGUAACACGUGAGCAACCUGGCGUGAAGUGGGGGAUAGCUCGCCGAAAGGCGAAUUAAUACCGCAUGUGGCCAAGGAAGACAUCUUCCUGACGCCAAAGCCGGGGUAACCUGGCGCUUCUCGAGGGGCUCGCGGCCUAUCAGCUUGUUGGUGAGGUAACGGCUCACCAAGGCUAUGACGGGUAGCUGGUCUGAGAGGACGACCAGCCACACUGGAACUGAGACACGGUCCAGACACCUACGGGUGGCAGCAGUCGAGAAUUUUUCACAAUGGGGGAAACCCUGAUGGAGCGACGCCGCGUGGAGGAUGAAGGUUUUCGGAUCGUAAACUCCUGUCAUUAGAGAACAAGGCACACGGUUUAACUGGCUGUGUGUUGAUAGUAUCUGAAGAGGAAGGGACGGCUAACUCUGUGCCAGCAGCCGCGGUAAUACAGAGGUCUCAAGCGUUGUUCGGAUUCAUUGGGCGUAAAGGGUGCGUAGGUGGCGAGGUAAGUCGGAUGUGAAAUCUCCAAGCUCAACUUGGAAACUGCAUUCGAUACUGCUUUGCUAGAGGAUUGUAGAGGGCAUUGGAAUUCACGGUGUAGCAGUGAAAUGCGUAGAUAUCGUGAGGAAAGACCAGUGCGAAGGCAAAUGCCUGGCAUUCCUGACACUGNAGCACGAGGCCAGGGAGCAACGGGAUAGAUACCCCGUAGUCCUGC